CUUUUAUCUUUUAUCAAUGCUGUUGCCUUAAUUCUUAUCAGUUAUAGAUAACUGAUAAGUAAAUUGAUUGAAUAUUUUUCACAGAUAUACACAUAUUAUUAUUAUACAACUAUCCUAAAUUUGUUUAAGCCCUAAGGAUUAAGGAAGUACUAUGAAUUAUUUUCUUUGGGAACCGAACUGCCUAUAAAGUAUAAAUUAUAUGUUGUAAUUAUUUGCUUUGUUAUGAUUUAUGAUAAAUAACAAUUUUUGUAUGAUUUCUUGUUUAAAAAUUUUUAAAAAAUGCUCAUCAUAACUAGGUGUUCAAUUACUAGUAAUGUUACUAAAAUUACUAGUUACUAAUAAAAUCUAGUAAUUCAACCAAGUAUUCAAUUAUUGGAAUUGAUUAAACAUAAUUUGAUCCGGUGAUUGAACAAGUAUAUUUUAUCGUAACAAUUUAAGAAGAAAAUAAAUUAUUCCAUGGUUUAAUUAAUGUAUUAAAAUAUUUGAAAAUUUAAAUCGCCACAGUUGGACAAGGCCCGCAUUUAUGGAUACAAUUAAACAAGUCAAGUUGAUGAGUAAAAAUAUGUGUCAUUUACAUUUUAUAAUUUAUUCAUUCAAUUGUUUUAAUUUUUAUUACCUACCUACCUAUAUUAAUUGAUGUCAAAUGAAUGUGUCAAAUUUUAAAGAAGUUAAUGAAUGAAAUUCAAUUUACAAAGCUGAUAAUUAUAAAAAUCUGUGGUUAAACGUUUAGCUUUGUUUUUUAAAUAGAAAAAUUGUAUUAAUAUUAUCAAGGAUUACUGAGAUAUUUAUUUUUAUUGAUACAUCCAUUCCUAAUAAUAUUGGUGAGAAAAUACCGUCGACAAUUAUGCAUUCAUGUUUUGUUUCUUGUUUUGUUCUAUCAAUGAUUUUCAGACUAUAGAAUCUGCCGACCGUCAGGGAAGUGGCUGUAUGUAAACUGCGGCAAAAUUAACCUUUUUCUAAAAUUUGAUAUGUAAACUGCGGCAAAAAAAAAAAA